rnacentral:rRNA from 1 species
GAUGAACGCUAGCGGGAGGCUUAACACAUGCAAGUCGAGGGGUAUAAGUAGCAAUAUUUAGAGACCGGCGCACGGGUGAGUAACGCGUAUGCAACCUGCCCUUUACUGGGGGAUAGCCCGUAGAAAUGCGGAUUAAUACCCCAUAGUUCUGUUAGAUCGCAUGGUUUGACAGAUAAAGUUUCGGUGGUAAAGGAUGGGCAUGCGUGACAUUAGCUAGUUGGUGAGGUAACGGCCCACCAAGGCUACGAUGUCUAGGGGUUCUGAGAGGAAGAUCCCCCACACUGGUACUGAGACACGGACCAGACUCCUACGGGUGGCAG